UUUUUUUUGGGUAACUGCUAUUUUCAUUUCAAAGAUGGUGGGCCUUAUCUUAUGCAAAAUUCAAGUUUUGGCCCCAAUUAAAAUACAUCAUCACCCUAACCGAUUGACGUCUUUUGCUGCUGCUUCUUCCUCUUCGUCAUCACCUUCGUCCUCCUACCCUCACAGAUGUGUUCAGUGGCCAUGGCAGUCCUAAAGUUUGCGUCAGUGGUGCAGAGUGACGUUUUUUGCUUGACUUCUUCUGCAGGAGUCUCAAAGAAAGGGCAUCAUAUAUACAACCUCCAUUCUUCAAUUUUGUGGAUGCUCGAUGGUCAUCAUCUGACCUCAUGGUGCCAGAUAUGACGAAAUCACCGGCCAGAACUACAACUCUACCUGGUUGUUAUCAUCUUACCUCAUGCUGCCAAAACCAAUUGUUAAAUUUUCUUUAUAGAUUGUUGCCCGUAAGCAACAAAUUUCUCCUAUAAAUUCACUCACCUUGGUAUGCCUGUUGUUGUGCACUUUCAGAUUUCAGAUUUCAGAUUUCAUAUGAUCUGAACUUUUCUUUAAUUUAGAAACCUGUUAUUCCAAAUUGGUGAGAACCCAAGAUUCAGUUUUUCUUUAGAGUUGGUGCAAACUGAAAAGAAGUUCUUCUAUUUUUACUAAUAUUAUCUCCCUUUCUUCCGAUUUUUUACUGAUUUCAAUUUUUCCAUAUUUUUUCUUUGAUUUUUCUAUGAUUCCAUGAUGUUUGGUUCAAUAAAAGCAUGGAGGGUGCUUGUGAAGUUUGGAGCUGAAAUUCAAAUUGUAAAGGGCAGUCUCAACUGAAGGAACAAAACUUGAUGGUGCUCCAAUGAGGAAAAGAUCUAUUGAUUGUCUAAGAGAGCAUGUUUAGACUUGAUGUCCAGAUUAUAACAGAAGAAAUAGACUUGAUAGCCGAAAGGUGCAUUGUUGCUCAUGAUAGUGGGAGAGAAUUUGUCACCAACUUGGUUGGAAGUGCAAUGCCCGGUGGUAAAAGCCCAAGAGGGAAAGCAUGGUGUCUAAACAAUGCAAACAUGGGAUUCCAGCUGAGGUUGCAUCAUUUGUUUGUAAGAAUGGGAAAGCUACAUGGAUCUUAAUUGGUCCAUCUGGAAAAAAGACAGUUUCAGAUACUUGCACCUGAAAAACCCAAGAAAGUGGUAAAAAAGUUUACAUCAUUUUUUUAUUAUGGGUGUUGCAUGAUGUUUUUGGGGGUGAUUAUGUAAUCUUCAAUACAUUUUGUAUCACAGGGCAGUGGUAGACUUAUAUGAAUUUGUCUAUAGGCAUAGAUGGAGUUUUUUGCACUGGAUCGGAUGUGUUUCUCUGCACAAAUAAUGGUGUAGGGCUGCCAUAUAUUUUAAUUAACUGAUAUUGGUUUCAAUAAAUGUACACAACUUGAAACUUCAAGCCAAUCAAGGGCUUUAUGCCUUCCGUUACCAUUUGACAUUUAGUUUUAAUUCUAUAAAUUGUAAGAGUUGAAUAAAACCAUCACCUUGGGUAUGAUAUUCCCU